rnacentral:rRNA from 1 species
UACGGAGGGGGCUAGCGUUGUUCGGAAUUACUGGGCGUAAAGGGCGCGUAGGCGGACGGGCUAGUCAGGGGUGAAAGGCCUGGGCUCAACCGAGGAAUUGCCUCUGAAACUGGAGAGCUCGAGUCCGGGAGAGGGUAGUGGAAUUCCCAGUGUAGCGGUGAAAUGCGUAGAUAUUGGGAGGAACACCAGUGGCGAAGGCGGCUACCUGGACCGGUUCUGACGCUGAGGCGCGAAAGCGUGGGGAGAAAACAGG